AUUCCAGUGUAUCUCCCUACCUCAUAUUCACAGGCUCAGCUCUUACUCAUACUCUCUUUUAAUCAGGCAAAAUUCUUCUUCCACAUUGAGUACUGCAAAGCACAGCUCUGGGAGCACAGCAAGACAGGCCGCUUGCUCUCAGUUCAGGUGUCCCAACUUAAGCCUAGAUGAAAACUCACACAAAAGAAGUAGGAAGACUGCAAACUCCUUUAAAAGAAACAAGCCUGGAACCAUGGACCCAGCCCCAGUCCUCAGUUGCCAUGAAAAUAUUACCUUUUGGGAGCCUGUCAACACAAUAUCUUUAUGGAUGGAUUUGGACCAGCAAUCAGAUAUUUCACAGACUCAGCACAAUAAUAAAAGACAUCGAUUGUGAUAUGGACAAAAGACACCAGAGACCAAAAAUUGUUAUCCAGGCUGUGUUCUGCAUUUUCUGUCUCUCUUUAAUGUACUACAGCACAUCCCUCUCCAUUACCCCUCUUCUUCUCCCCCCUCAAUAAAAAUAAUGUUCAAGGCAACUCUGUUACUUCAUGUGUGCUGAAAGUCAGGCUUUUUUCUGGAUAUAUGGUAAAUCUUCUUGUCAACUUGUCUUUCUUGUACUUGAUACCAAAAGAGAACUGUUUCUAUUUUUCUAAAGAGAUUUGAUAACCUAAAUGAUAGGUCUAAUGUGUAGAUCGGUAAUGUGGUCCUCGUGUUUAAACAGAAGUGAAUUAAACAGUGUUUUUAUAGAGGUUACAUGUGUGACACAUAAUUUACUCUUUCUACUCAGGGGAUAUAAAAAUAUACCUCUUGAUUAGCUUAAUUUUUUCUGUGCAAUAUAUGAAAGAUGAUUCACUUUUACUUUAAAGUAGUACCCUUGUAGCCUUACUGCUACAGCUCUUGUGUAUUUCAUUGAAGGAAAGUAGUUAAAAUUUCACACCAAGGG
ensembl:lncRNA